rnacentral:rRNA from 1 species
CCUACGGGUGGCAGCAGUGAGGAAUAUUGGUCAAUGGACGAGAGUCUGAACCAGCCAAGUAGCGUGAAGGAUGACUGCCCUAUGGGUUGUAAACUUCUUUUAUAAAGGAAUAAAACGAGGCACGUGUGCCUUUUUGUAUGUACUUUAUGAAUAAGGAUCGGCUAACUCCGUGCCAGCAGCCGCGGUAAUACGGAGGAUCCGAGCGUUAUCCGGAUUUAUUGGGUUUAAAGAGAGCGUAGAUGGGUUGUUAAGUCAGUUGUGAAAGUUUGCGGCUCAACCGUAAAAUUGCAAUUGAUACUGGCAGUCUUGAGUACAGUUGAGGUAGGCGGAAUUCGUGGUGUAGCGGUGAAAUGCUUAGAUAUCACGAAGAACCCCGAUUGCGAAGGCAGCUUACUAAACUGUGACUGACAUUGAGGCUCGAAAGUGUGGGUAUCAAACAGGAUUAGAUACCCCAGUAGUC